GACGAACGCUAGCGGCAUGCCUAACACAUGCAAGUCGAGCGGUAGAGUUCGGUCGGGGACCUGAGAGGGGCGUACGGGUGCGUAACACGUGCGCAAGCUACCUUUAUCUGGGGGAGAGGGGUUCGAAUGGAAGAUUAAUACUCCAUACUAAAAAGAUCUGCAUCCAUUAUUAUUGAGAAUUCCAGUGGAUAGUGAUGGGCACGCGCAAGAUCAGACAGUUGGUUAGGUAGCGGCUCACCAAGUGAAUGAUCCUUAGGGGGCCUGAGAGGGAGAUCCCUGACACUGGUACAGAGACACGGACCAUACUCCUACGAGAGGCAGCAGUGAGGAAUCUUAGGCAAUAGGUGAGAGCCUGAUCCAGCCAUCCCGCGUGAAAGAUGACGGUCCUAUGAAUUGUAAGCUUCUUUUGGACAGGUAUAACCCUAUUCUCGGGAGAGUAACUGACGGUACUGUACGAAUAAGCACCGGCUAACUCCGUG
rnacentral:rRNA from 1 species